AGCAUUUCUCCAUUGGCCCUCUUAUCAAUGUUUUAACUCUAAUAUUUGUGAGUCAGAUCUUCUGGGAGCUAUAAAUGGGUGUGACAUAUCUUAUCGGAAAGAACAAAAGAAGAACCUCUAUGAAGCUGAUCACCUUAGCAAUUAAUGGUCUCACUGUGAUUUCAUCUAAAACAGUCUCACAUGCCAGACUUGUCAACUGAAGAAACAGAAGAGAAGAUGUAAUGUCAUCCUUUCUCUUCUUGCCUCAACUUUCAAAGAUGGGAAUAUUAUUAUAAAAUGCAUUCUUUUGCUAUUUGUCAUUGCUGACAGAAAGUAAAGCAUCUUAGCAUCCCUCCUAACUUUGGUUUCUCUUCCACCUGCAGGACCCUGGUCUGUUUCUGUUCUUCCUCCAUCAUUGUCCCACGAUAUAUAUGAAGAACUCUCCAGUCUCCAUAGAUUCUGAACAUUUUAUUAUGUUGCAACAACUCACUACACUGUUUGCUCCCUGAAAGCAUACUCUAGAAUUUAAUGGACUGUCCACUACCACUGACAAUUGCCUAGGAAAACAUAGGAGCAGCUAUCUGAUGAAAUAACAAGGAGCUUACAUAUAAAGAAUUCAAGAAUGACUUUCCAUGAUGAGAAGAAGGAAAUGGAAAUUGCUUCUAAAACACAGAUUUUAUAAUGUGGGUUAUCUACUCUUUUGAUAAAUAAAUGGAAACAUAGAAAUAAUUUUAGAAAGUAGCAAUGCAGUAUAAAAAUUUAUUAAUUGUUAUGUUAUAUAAACUAGAGACUUUCAUGAAGAAUUUAAGUGUUUUACAUUGUGACUUAACAAAUAAAAAAGGAGAAAAGGAGUACAAGUAAUGCAAAGAUCAAUGCUUGUAUAUAAUUAAUUGUUUAGUGAGUUUUUGUCACCUUGUGCUGAAUUUAAUGAAAAUAAAGCAAAUGACUUAUAAUUUUUAAAAGAUUG
rnacentral:lncRNA from 1 species